GGCCGGUGAUGCUAGAAAAUAUUUGCUACUCUUGAUGGCAAUCGCCCAUUUGAUGAGUCUCUUCCACCAAGAUCUCUGAGGCU
rnacentral:snoRNA from 3 species